CAGUCGAACGAGCGAGAGAGAGCUUGCUUUCUCGAGCGAGUGGCGAACGGCUGAGUAACGCGUGAGGAACCUGCCUCAAAGAGGGGGACAACAGUUGGAAACGACUGCUAAUACCGCAUAAGCCCACGGCUCGGCAUCGAGCAGAGGGAAAAGGAGCAAUCCGCUUUGAGAUGGCCUCGCGUCCGAUUAGCUGGUUGGUGAGGUAACGGCCCACCAAGGCGACGAUCGGUAGCCGGACUGAGAGGUUGAACGGCCACAUUGGGACUGAGACACGGCCCAGACUCCUACGGGAGGCAGCAGUGGGGAAUAUUGCACAAUGGGGGAAACCCUGAUGCAGCGACGCCGCGUGGAGGAAGAAGGUCUUCGGAUUGUAAACUCCUGUUGUUGAGGAAGAUAAUGACGGUACUCAACAAGGAAGUGACGGCUAACUACGUGCCAGCAGCCGCGGUAAAACGUAGGUCACAAGCGUUGUCCGGAAUUACUGGGUGUAAAGGGAGCGCAGGCGGGAAGACAAGUUGGAAGUGAAAUCCAUGGGCUCAACCCAUGAACUGCUUUCAAAACUGUUUUUCUUGAGUAGUGCAGAGGUAGGCGGAAUUCCCGGUGUAGCGGUGGAAUGCGUAGAUAUCGGGAGGAACACCAGUGGCGAAGGCGGCCUACUGGGCACCAACUGACGCUGAGGCUCGAAAGUGUGGGUA
rnacentral:rRNA from 1 species